rnacentral:rRNA from 1 species
AUUGAACGCUGGCGGCAUGCCUUACACAUGCAAGUCGAACGGUAACGGGCCUUCGGGUGCCGACGAGUGGCGAACGGGUGAGUAAUACAUCGGAACGUGCCCGACCUGGGGGGUUAAGGGGGCGAAAGCUUUGCAAAUACCCAAUACGACCUACGGAUGAAACCGGGGGACCCCAAGGCCUUGCCCGGACGGGCCGCCCGAUGGCAGAUUAGGUAGUUGGUGGGAUAAAAGCUUACCAAGCCGACGAUCUGUAGCUGGUCUGAGAGGAUGAUCAGCCACACUGGGACUGAGACACGGCCCAGACUCCUACGGGAGGCAGCAGUGGGGAAUUUUGGACAAUGGGCGCAAGCCUGAUCCAGCCAUGCCGCGUGCAGGAUGAAGGCCUUCGGGUUGUAAACUGCUUUUGUACGGAACGAAAAGCCUUCUUUUAAUACAGGAGGGUCAUGACGGUACCGUAAGAAUAAGCACCGGCUAACUACGUG